rnacentral:rRNA from 1 species
AUUCAAGCUACUACGGGUAGUUGGUGGAUGCCUUGGCGCUAGGAGCCGAUGAAGGACGUGAUGGUCUGCGAAAAGCCUCGGGGAGUUGACGAAUAAGCGUUGAUCCGGGGAUGUCCGAAUUGGGAAACCAGGCUGGGGUAAUGCCCAGUCAUUCCGGUCUGAACACAUAGGGCCGGCAAAGGAAACCGAGGGAAUUGAAACAUCUCAGUACCUCGAGGAAUGGAAAACAACAGUGAUUCCCUGAGUAGCGGCGAGCGAAACGGGAAGAGCCCAAACCAGUGCGGUGUGAUAGGUCGACGCCGUUGCCGUGCUGGGGUUGUGGGACUCGUCAGAGGGGUCGUCGAACCCUUCAGAGAGUUACAAACUCACCAGAUAGCCGAAUUCGACUGGAAAGUCGAGCCACAGGAGGUAACAGCCCCGUAGGUGAAAUCUGUGUGAGCUCUCGAUGAUGUUCCCAAGUAGCACGGGGCACGUGAAAUCCCGUGUGAAUCUGCCAGGACCACCUGGUAAGGCUAAAUACUACCUAGCGACCGAUAGCGGAUCAGUACCGUGAGGGAACGGUGAAAAGUACCCCGGUGAGGGGAGUGAAACAGUACCUGAAACCAAUUACUUACAAGCAGUAGGAGGGAUCGCAUUCAUUGCGGUCCUGACUGCCUGCCUUUUGAAGAAUGAGCCUACGAGUUAUCGAUGUGUGGCAAGGUUAAGCCGAGAGGUGUAGCCGCAGCGAAAGCAAGUCUUAAUAGGGCGCCAAGUCGCAUGUCAUAGACCCGAAGCCGAGUGAUCUAUCCAUGGACAGGGUGAAGCGAGGGUAAGACCUCGUGGAGGCCCGAACCCACCUAGGUUAAAAACUGGGGGGAUGAUCUGUGGAUAGGGGUGAAAGGCCAAUCAAACUCGGCGAUAGCUGGUUCUCCUCGAAAUAGCUUUAGGGCUAGCGUUGUAUGUUCCGCCUUGGGGGUAGAGCACUGAUUGGGUUAGGGGGCCAACAAGCUUACCGACCCCAGUCAAACUCCGAAUCCCAGGGCGCCAAGUACAGCAGUCAGACCAUGUGGGAUAAGCUUCAUGGUCGAAAGGGAAACAGCCCAGACCGCCAGUUAAGGUCCCAAAAUCAUGACUAAGUGGGGAACGAUGUAGGGUUGCCCAAACAGCCAGGAGGUUGGCUUAGAAGCAGCCAUCCUUUAAAGAGUGCGUAACAGCUCACUGGUCGAGUGAUCCCGCGCGGAUGAUGUAACGGGGCUCAAGUCAUGUACCGAAACUGCGGAUUCACGCUUUAACCCAGGCCUUCGUGGUCCAGGGGGCGUGAAUGGUAGAGGAGCGUCGAGUGUCCAUCGAAGCGGCGGCGUAAGCCAGUCGUGGAGGGCACUCGAGUGAGAAUGUAGGCAUGAGUAGCGAAUGAAGAGUGAGAAUCUCUUCCGCCGAAUGUCCAAGGUUUCCUGGGGAAGGCUCGUCCGCCCAGGGUUAGUCGGGACCUAAGGUGAGGCCGAAAGGCGUAAUCGAUGGAUAACAGGUUGAUAUUCCUGUACUACCCAAGACGCGUCCAGACCGAACUACGUUUGCUAAGGAAAGCCCUUCGGGGCCUACCGACCCAGCGUGUAUUAGGUGAGCAAUGGAGUGACACAGAAGGGCAAGUGGACCCGGGCGAUGGUUGACCCGGGGUAAGUGCGUAGGCUGAGCUCCAGGUUAAUCCGGAGCUCGUGAAGGCUGAGACACGAUGCCGAGCCGCUAUUAGGCGAAGCCACCUCACCCAUGCUGUCAAGAAAAGCUUCUAGCGAGUUUCUUGGGUACCCGUACCCCAAACCGACACAGGUGGACAAGUAGAGAAUACUAAGGCGAGCGAGAAAACUCUGGUUAAGGAAUUCGGCAAAAUGGAUCCGUAACUUCGGGAGAAGGAUCGCCCCGGUAGGGUGUAGGACCUCGCGUCCGAAGCCUGAUGGGGUUGCAGAAACCAGGCCCAAGCGACUGUUUAUUAAAAACACAGGAGGGUGCUAAGUCGUAAGACGACGUAUACCCUCUGACGCCUGCCCGGUGCUAGAAGGUCAAGUGGAUCGGUUAGCUCUUUUGAGCGAAGCUGUGAAAUCAAGCCCUAGUAAACGGCGGCGGUAACUAUAACCGUUAAACAGAAAACUGAAUGGCGGUUACAAAACCUGGCUAUAUGCUGGAACAUCCGAGCAUCCGGCGGUACUCGUUCAUGUCACAGGUGUGUGAUACAUCUGGAGCAUGAGCAGUGAAAAUCCGUCCGGUGCGGACAAUCAGCAGGAAACCAAAGACACGACGCAGCAGCUCGAUCCGAGCUGGAUCGUUGGGUUUGUUGAUGGAGAGGGGUGCUUUUCAGUAAGCAUCCACCGAAAUCGGCGAUACGCCCGACGCACGCGAGGCUGGCAACUCACGCCAGUCUUUGCGGUGUACCAGCACGAGAAAGAGCGAAGAUUGCUUGAGCGCAUGCGCGACCAUUUCGGUUGUGGCAAGCUCUAUCACAAAGGUCCGAACAGUUCUGUUGUCACCUACUCGGUGGCCAGGAUCACGGACCUUGAACUACGGAUUAUUCCGUUCUUCGAGAAGCACCGGUUGCUCGUGAAGGAUGACGACUUCAUUCGUUUCGCAGAGAUCGUGAGAUCGAUGCGGCGAAAGGAGCACUUUCAUCCGGAUCGCUUCGAAACACUCGUCCGGCUUGCCUACGCCAUGAACGGUCAUGGCAAACAGCGAGCUCGGCCGAUCGAAGCAAUCCUGCAGGGAUCCUCAGAGACUGUACGCCAGGCCCCUCCGUGAGUGGAGGGGAUGAUACAGUCCGAUCCUCAUGGCGACAUGGGGAGUCAGGCAGAAAUGCCCUGACCAGUUCUGUGCGGGCCGUCCCCGCAUCGACAUAACAGAACGAGUAACAAGAAUGCCUAAGGUAGCGAAAUUCCUUGUCGGGUAAUUGAAUUGCCCGUCAGUGGAGGUGACUCCACUUAUCAAACCCACUCAUAACGGCGAAGCCCACACCGACUGCUCGGCUCAAGGACCGAGCGAUAGUCGACGGGUAAUGCCGUGGGAAGUCCUCUGUCGGUGUCGCCACCGAUAUGACCCCGUAACGACUGAAUCCUUCAGGAUUCGGUGCCGGAACAUGUCAUACACGCAACAUAUGUUGUGGAGAUAUGGCAAAUCUAUGGCCGGCACAAUACGUGGGCUCUCGUUCAGCAAUCGACUUUCCUUCUUACGUCUCCGGUUUCUUCGACGGCGAAGGCUGUUUCACCGUCUCAAUCUCACCUCGAGCUUCGCUCAAAGUGGGUUGGGAGGUCCGACCAUCAGUGUCGGUCAGCCAGAACGAAGACCGGAGCCGGGUGCUUCACCUGAUCAUGGACUACUUCGGAUGCGGAACCAUCCGUCGUGAUUCAACCGAUCUGACCGUGAAGUGGGAGGUGCGCAGUCUGCAGACCCUGCGAGAACGAGUCCUUCCUCACUUUGAGGAUUGGCCGGUUCUUUCAGCGAAACAGAACGAUGUUGACCUAUUCGUCGCCGUGUGCGACGCGAUGGCGAGACGGGAGCAUCUCCAGCCAGGAGGACUGAUUGAGAUCGUAGAUAUGGCACGAAGGAUGAACCCGAGCGGCAAGCGACGGUUCGAUCCGGAAACCAUCAUCGAUCAACUGAACGAGAUGAAGGCAUAGUCUAUCCCCCGAGGAAACUCGGGGAAAUCGAUGAAGUUCCGACCUGCACGAAUGGCGUAACGACUCGGGCACUGUCUCAACCAGAGACUCGGCGAAAUUGCAAUGUGAGUAAAGAUGCUCACUUCCCGCAACAGGACGGAGAGACCCCGGGACCUUUACUGCAGCUUGACAUUGAAGCUCUUCCUGCGAUGUGUAGGAUAGGUGGGAGCCUUUGAAGCAUCCGCGCUAGCGGGUGUGGAGGCAACGUUGAAAUACCACCCUUCUCAUGAAGCUCUUCUAACCUCGGUCCAUUAUCUGGAUCAGGAACAGUGUCUGGUGGGCAGUUUCACUGGGGUGGUGGCCUCCUAAAAUGUAACGGAGGCGCCCAAAGGUUCCCUCAGCCAGGUCGGCAAUCUGGCGUUGAGUGCAAAAGCACAAGGGAGCUUGACUGCGAGACAAACAAGUCGAGCAGGUACGAAAGUAGGGUUUAGUGAUCCCUCGGCGGCAUGUGGGUGCGCCGAGGCCAACGGCUAAAAGGUACCCCGGGGAUAACAGGCUCAUACCGCCCAAGAGUCCAUAUCGACGGCGGUGUUUGGCACCUCGAUGUCGGCUCGUCUCAUCCUGGGGCUGAAGCAGGUCCCAAGGGUCGGGCUGUUCGCCCGUUAAAGAGGCACGCGAGCUGGGUUUAGAACGUCGUGAGACAGUUCGGUCCCUAUCCGUUGUGGGCGCAGGAGAUUUGAGGAGAGUUGUCCCUAGUACGAGAGGACCGGGAUGAACGUACCUCUGGUGUGCCAGUUGUCCUGCCAAGGGCACGGCUGGUUUGCUACGUACGGAACGGAUAAGCGCUGAAAGCAUCUAAGCGCGAAGCCGGCUCCAAGAUGAGAUCUCCCACUGAGAAAUCAGGUAAGACCCCUGGUAGACGACCAGGUUGAUAGGCCGGAAGUGGAAGCGCAGCAAUGCGUGAAGCUGACCGGUACUAAUAGGUCGAGGGCUUGAAUUU